rnacentral:rRNA from 1 species
CCUAGGANGGGUGGAUUGAUACUGUGGGGCUAGAGUACAGAUGAGGUAGGCGGAAUUGACGGUGUAGCGGUGAAGUGCUUAGAUAUCGUCAAGGACACCUAUAGCGAAGGCAGCUUACUAGGCUGUAACUGACGCUGAGGCACGAAAGUGUGGGGAUCAAACAGGGAUUAGAUACCCUGGUAGUCCACACUGUAAACGUUGAUUACUCGCUGUGUGCGAUAUACAGUACGCGGCCAAGCGAAAGCGCUAAGUAAUCCACCUGGGGAGUACGCCGGCAACGGUGAAACUCAAAGGAAUUGACGGGGGUCCGCCCNAGCGGUGGANCAUGUGGUUUAAUUCGAUGAUACGCGAGGGAACCUUACCUGGGGCUAGAAUGCCCAUGACCGGGUCCAGAUAUGGACUCUUCCGCAAGGACANGGAGCAAGGNUGCUGCAUGGCUGUCGGUCAGCUCGUGCCNUNGAGGNGUUGGGUUAAGU